rnacentral:rRNA from 1 species
UACGUAGGGUGCUAGCGUUAAUCGGAAUUACUGGGCGUAAAGCGUGCGCAGGCGGUUUUGUAAGCCAGAUGUGAAAUCCCCGGGCUUAACCUGGGAAUGGCAUUUGGGACUGCAAAGCUGGAGUGCGGUAGAGGGGACUGGAAUUCCUGGUGUAGCAGUGAAAUGCGUAGAGAUCAGGAGGAAUACCGAUGGCGAAGGCAGGUCCCUGGGCUGACACUGACGCUCAUGCACGAAAGCGUGGGGAGCAAACAGG